rnacentral:rRNA from 1 species
ACGCUCGACACCUACGGGAGGCAGCAGUGGGGAAUAUUGCACAAUGGGGGAAACCCGUGAUGCAGCGACGCCGCGUGGAGGAAGAAGGUCUUCGGAUUGUAAACUCCUGUUGUUGGGGAAAAAGAGGAUGGUACCCAACAAGGAAGUGACGGCUAACUACGUGCAAGCAGCCGCGGUAAUCUGAGCGGGCUGGCAAGGCG